rnacentral:rRNA from 1 species
GACGUAGGGGGCCAGCGUUGUUCGGAAUUACUGGGUGUAAAGGGUUCGUAGGCGGUGCGGCAAGUUGGGAGUGAAAUCUUGGAGCUUAACUCCGAAACUGCAUUCGAUACUGCCGUGCUUGAGGACUGGAGAGGAGACUGGAAUUUACGGUGUAGCGGUGAAAUGCGUAGAUAUCGUAAGGAAGACCAGUGGCGAAGGCGGGUCUCUGGACAGGUCCUGACGCUGAGGCACGAAGGCCAGGGGAGCAAACGGG